UACAGAGACCUCGAGCGUUAUCCGGAAUCAUUGGGCGUAAAGCGUACCGAUAGGUGGUUUAGAAAGUUUUGGGUAAAAGCCAGAAGCUUAACUUCUGAGUUUGCUCAAAAUACUUCUCAACUAGAGGGGCAAAGAGGUCCUUGGAACGAAUGGUGUAGUAGUGAAAUGCGUUGAUAUCAUUCGGAACACCGAAAGCGAAGGCAGAGGACUGGGUGCCACCUGACACUGCUAGGACGAAAGCGUGGGGAGCGAAUGGG
rnacentral:misc_RNA from 1 species